rnacentral:lncRNA from 10 species
CAGAGCUCAGCCUCACCCCCAAGUGGGGCGUAUUAGUCCCAGGGUCAGUGAGAACCCCGGGAUCCCUCAGUCAGUGCCCCUUCCCCUGUGUCAUGGAUGGGUGUCAGCAUCAGAGCGUCAGGGAUGCCCCACACAGUGGAUGGGGUGCAGUGGCCUCGGUUUUAGAGACCCACAUUCAACUUCUUUGCCAGGGAAGCUUCUGGAACACAGAGAAGCCUCAACCCUGUGCAGCUUGGUGUGGGCUGCAGAUCAGCCAAAACUCACAACCUGCCUGGCUGCAACAGACCCCUGGGCAGCUGACAGCCCUCCUCACUCCCCAGGCCCUCCUCGCCCUUGGUUUACACUCUUGUUUUGGUGGAGAACACCCUCCAGUAGCUCCUUGGGAUCAGGUGCUUGGGUUUUGAGACCUUGACUUCUGAGAAUGUCUUAUCAGGGCUGCUGGAUUGCAGGUUCCUCAUCCGAUGUGGUGGUUGCGGUAAGCCUCAUUACAGAACAUCCUUUUUUCUUUCUUUUCUUUUUAAAUAGAUAUGGGGUCUUGUUCUGUCACCUAGGCAGGAGUGCACUGGCACGAUCAUAGCUCCCUGUAGCUUUGAACUUAUUAGCUCAAGUGCUCUUCCUGCCUCAGCCUCCUCCCGAGUAGCUGGGACUACAGGCACGCACCACUACACCUGGCUGAUUUUAAAAAAUUGUUUUGGAG